AAAUUGAAGAGUUUGAUCAUGGCUCAGAUUGAACGCUGGCGGCAGGCCUAACACAUGCAAGUCGAACGGUAACAGGAAGCAGCUUGCUGCUUUGCUGACGAGUGGCGGACGGGUGAGUAAUGUCUGGGAAACUGCCUGAUGGAGGGGGAUAACUACUGGAAACGGUAGCUAAUACCGCAUAACGUCGCAAGACCAAAGAGGGGGCCCUUCGGGCCUCUUGCCAUCGGAUGUGCCCAGAUGGGAUUAGCUUGUUGGUGGGGUAACGGCUCACCAAGGCGACGAUCCCUAGCUGGUCUGAGAGGAUGACCAGCCACACUGGAACUGAGACACGGUCCAGACUCCUACGGGAGGCAGCAGUGGGGAAUAUUGCACAAUGGGCGCAAGCCUGAUGCAGCCAUGCCGCGUGUAUGAAGAAGGCCUUCGGGUUGUAAAGUACUUUCAGCGGGGAGGAAGGGAGUAAAGUUAAUACCUUU
rnacentral:rRNA from 1 species